rnacentral:lncRNA from 1 species
UAAAGACAUGGUACCAUAUUUCCAAAGGAGAAAUGACCACUAAACUGAGCUGGAAGCAUCAUGAAAAUACAUGUAGGACAAUCUCCAUCUCUCCAUCUGUUACAAAGGGGCAGAAGUAUUACAUGGCACUCUGUACCUGAUUGCUUGGGUGCGCUUUCGGGUGUAAGGAGUAAUAACCUUGAAAAGCAGUUCCAUGGCUCCAUUAAUUCCCAGCAUGGCUCCCAUGGAGACUAAGAAAAACAAAAGCACAGUAGUUAUGGUCACAAGUGGAUGAGUUAAGGCUCAAGACAACUUGGAUUGACUCCUUUAAAUCUUUUAGGGGCAACUUGAUAAACAAGAUAGCUCCCUUUCUUUUCCACCCUUGUUGCACAUUCCUCUAUAAUGUCUGGAACUGUAGGCACAUGCCACCACGCCCAGCUAAGUUUUUGUAUUUUUAGUAGAGACCAAGCUAGUCUUAAAUGCCUGGGCUCAAGCGAUCUGACCACCUCGUUGCACUUCACAUUGAUUCUGGAUUGUACAAUGAGUAGAGUGGAGGAAGGGGAAGAUGCUGAAGGAGGAGGAUAAUCAUAGCCAAAGACAUUUUUCAGACCUAGUGACAAAUGCUGCUAAAUAUGUCCCCACUAGAACCAAAUGGAUCAAAAGAGCUAAUUCAGGCUACACAUAUUUACAUGGAAGCUUGUGGGUUGAAUAACUCUUAAGCCCCCAUAUUUAGGUUGUCCUCAUACAUUAACCACAGUUCUCUUGGAAUGCCCCCUAUUUCCCCUCUAAUAUUUCUAAAAUACUGCUCCAAAUAACCUGACACCUAGUGUUACAAAUAGUCCUCAUUAUUUUAAUAAUUAGAAAAUAAGCAUUAAAAAAGAAAUACUUAUUUUCUGUUCUUUGCCCCCACUAUGAUACCUGUCAAUGGGUGAUGUCUAAAUCAUCCUGUUUGUUUUUGCAAGAAUACAUCACUAUCAGAUUUAUCGGAGGUAGAAAUGAGUAAAACAGAAAUAAAACCCUAAACCUGGUUUACUGAUAUGUACCUCUGGACUAAAGGAUACCAGCAAAGAGGUUGUAACUAAACUUACAUAACCCAUUCCCUUCAUCAAAAAAGAGAUAUCUAUCCCAUUCCUUCAUGAGCAGCCAACCUCAUUUCUGUUCUGUUCAGGUCAGCCCAUGGCAACUUGAAUGUCAGUGUCAAGGACUAUAACCCCUUGAUGGC